rnacentral:tRNA from 1 species
UUAACAACGGUGUUGGCGCACGAAGAAUUUUGAUUUCUUAGGAAUGAGUCGCGAGCUCUUUUGUUAAA